UACGUAGGGUGCAAGCGUUGUCCGGAAUUAUUGGGCGUAAAGAGCUCGUAGGCGGUCUGUCGCGUCUGCUGUGAAAACUCGGGGCUUAACCCCGGCCUGCAGUGGGUACGGGCAGACUAGAGUGCGGUAGGGGAGACUGGAAUUCCUGGUGUAGCGGUGAAAUGCGCAGAUAUCAGGAGGAACACCGGUGGCGAAGGCGGGUCUCUGGGCCGAUACUGACGCUGAGGAGCGAAAGCGUGGGGAGCAAACAGG
rnacentral:rRNA from 1 species